rnacentral:rRNA from 1 species
UGGGGAAUAUUGGACAAUGGGCGCAAUCCUGAUCCAGCCAUGCCGCGUGAGUGAUGAAGGUCCUAGGGUUGUAAAGCUCUUUCACCGGUGAAGAUAAUGACGGUAACCGGAGAAGAAGCCCCGGCUAACUUCGUGCCAGCAGCCGCGGUAAUACGAUGGGGGCUAGCGUUGUUCGGAUUUACUGGGCGUAAAGCGCACGUAGGCGGACUUUUAAGUCAGGGGUGAAAUCCCGGGGCUCAACCCCGGAACUGCCUUUGAUACUGGAAGUCUUGAGUAUGGUAGAGGUGGGUGGAAUUCCGAGUGUAGAGGUGAAAUUCGUAGAUAUUCGGAGGAACACCAGUGGCGAAGGCGGCUCACUGGACCAUUACUGACGCUGAGGUGCGAAAGCGUGGGGAGCAAACAGG